rnacentral:rRNA from 1 species
AUCGAUGAAGAACGCAGCGAAAUGCGAUAAGUAAUGUGAAUUGCAGAAUCAGUGAAUCAUCGAAUUUUUGAACGCAUAUUGCACUCCUUGGUAUUCCUUGGAGUACACUUGUUCGAGCGCCGUUUGCAUCUUAAGGCUCUGCCUUGUGUUGAGAUUUCCUGGAAAGGAACUCUCCAAGCAUCUGGGCGUCCGUCGUGCCUGAACCGCAACACACUGCGUGUAGGGAUUUCGGCUGUCGCCAAAAACCGUCUAGCAUGGCCUCGGAUCAAGUGGGGAUACCCGCUAAACUUAAGCAUAUCAUUCAGCGGAGGAAAAGAAACCAACAGGGAUUGCCUUAGUAACGGCGAGUGAAGCGGCAAGAGCUCAGAUUUGAAAUCGGCCAACCGGCUGAGUUGUAAUCUGUAGAGGAAGGUUCGGUUGAAGUGCUGGCUAAAGUCUUCUGGAAGGGAGCGCCGUAGAGGGUGAGAGCCCCGUCUAGCCUGCGUCUGACGCCAUGUGUACCUCCUUCGAAGAGUCGAGUUGUUUGGGAAUGCAGCUCAAAAUGGGUGGUAAAUUCCAUCUAAAGCUAAAUAUAAGCCAAAGACCGAUAGCGCACAAGUAGAGUGAUCGAAAGAUGAAAAGCACUUUGGAAAGAGAGUGAAACAGUACGUGAAAUUGUUGAAAGGGAAGCGCUUGUGGUCAGACUUGCGCGCAGUUGCUCAGCCGUUCUUUGAGCGGUGCACUCGACUGCGCUCAGGCCAGCAUCGGUUUGGGCGGCUGGAUAAAGUCUUGAGAAAUGUGGCCUCUCGGGGUGUUAUAGUCUCUUGAACAAUACAGUCAGCCUGGACCGAGGACAGCGUUCGCUAGGAUGCUGGCGUAAUGGCCAUCAGCGACCCGUCUUGAAACACGG